GCAAGUAAAUGAGGUGCCCUACAUCAAAAUAGACAAGUUGAGUGGGCGCCCACAUAAAAAAGGGGCAAGUAAUUGGGGCACCAACUCUUGGUGCCCUUUUAGGGAUUUUAGCACACAAGAGAGGGGGUGUAGCCCCUCCCUCUCUCUCUCUCCUUCCAUGCCAAGGCAAAAAAGGGGGUGGGCCCCUUUCUUUCUUAUGCCC
rnacentral:lncRNA from 1 species